rnacentral:pre_miRNA from 1 species
UUCUGUCGUCAAACGGAUCAAGCUUUUUGUGAGACUUGGAUCGAUCACAAAAAGCGGGAUUCGCUUUUCGCAUAGGAA